UACGUAGGGUGCAAGCGUUAAUCGGAAUUACUGGGCGUAAAGCGUGCGCAGGCGGUUGUGCAAGACAGUUGUGAAAUCCCCGGGCUUAACCUGGGAAUUGCAUUUGUGACUGUACGGCUAGAGUGUGUCAGAGGGGGGUAGAAUUCCACGUGUAGCAGUGAAAUGCGUAGAGAUGUGGAGGAAUACCGAUGGCGAAGGCAGCCCCCUGGGAUAACACUGACGCUCAUGCACGAAAGCGUGGGGAGCAAACAGG
rnacentral:rRNA from 1 species